rnacentral:tRNA from 1 species
AUUAAGAUAACUUAAUCGGUAGAGUAGUGGAAUCAUAAUCCAUUUGUUAUGGGUUCAAGUCCCAUUCUUGAUA